ACUUUGGCCGUUUCUCCAUUUCUCCUCACGCACUGUCUUUCCUUGGGCCCUCGUCACUCCUGGCACCGGGGGAAGGGCUUCCCCGCCUCUGGCCGGGCGCUGGGGCGCGACCGAAGGCGAGGCGGCGGCGAGGAACCUUCUGGAAUUCGGCCGUCGGGGCAGGCGUCGAGUUUACAGGAGAAGGCGCGGUGUCCCGGGAUGAGCGGAGUCGCCCUCACUUAAGGAGCGAGGGAGGCCUCGGGGGUCCCCAGCCGGAAAUGAAAAUUGGACAUUUGACAUUUGAACCUCUCUCCUGUGUUUGGAAAACUCUCCAUCAAUGUGAUACAAUGGUGGAAAGCGGGGUCUAGGCUCAAUGGAACAGAUGGAGUCUCGCUCUGUUGCCCAAGCUGGAGUGCAGUGGCGGGAUCUCGGCUCACUGCAACCUUUGCCUCCUGGAUUCCAGCGAUUCUUGUGCCUCAGCCUCACAAGUAGGUGAG
rnacentral:lncRNA from 10 species